AGGGAGGUUUCAGAAGUGAUAGAUCAUCAAGAGAAGCUGUGGCUGCCCCAUCCCUGGCAGCGUUUAAGGAAAAGGCAGUUCCAAAAGGACAAUACAAGGGACGGUACUUCAGGCCCUGUCAGACCUGUCUUGCUCCACAGUCACCACCUGAGCGCUGCUCUCGGACUGAGAACAAGAGGCAGCCUGUGAUGUGUCUGAUUCGGACUUCGCCGACAUUCAUUGAUUGGAUAGGAAGCACCAAACAAAUAGCCCGGUUAACAGAGGGUUCCAACCAUCCUUUAUUGCAAAAUCCAGCUGGAAGAUAAGUGGAUAAAUGAAGUAAAAAGGAAGACUUAUGGACUGACUUGCUCAUGGACUCUUGAGGCCACGGUGUUCCUGACCUUACUGCAGUCCAUUUUAUUUCCCCAAAGUGUUACUCUUAUUUAGUGGAAUUUCUAUUUUGCUUAUUACAAAAAUUUUAAUUUUGUUUAACAGAAUUUUUUUGUCUCCUUCUAAAACUGCUCAGAUUCACUGGUUAUAGUCCUCAAUUAUCUUCCCUUAGGGUAAACAUGCCAUUUUCAUAAACCUCAGUAGCCUCCUUAUCAUCAAAACAUUUACUCUAUUUUUAUUGAAAAACACUUGUUACCAAAUACAAGCCAGAUGGUGGCUUAUUUUUCCGAAAGAUAACAUUUAAUAUAGACAAACAUAGUGUUAUAUCUCCAACUGUAGAAAAAUAUUUGAUCUCAGUGAUAUCUCUCAAAAAAUUUACUUUGCAGAGUGCACAUUAUCUUUUCCUACAUUUAUUGAUAAUUCUGUGUCUAUGCAAGUGAAUAUGUCUAUCUUUUCUCCCUCCAGUGGUUCUUUUUCGUCUCCUUUGCUUACUGUCUGAUUUAUAGAGAAACUAAUCUUCCUUUGAUUUUGCAUAAAGGGAACUUCACAAUGGCUAGUCAUACGCUGUUGAUAUUUUACUCAAUUUUUAACACUGAACAGGUGGGAGUUUACUCAUAGCUUAAUGAAUGAUGUUGCAUUCUAAAGGUAUUAUUCACAUCCACUGUAUAAAUUACCCCUAUGGGUAUAAAUCCAACUUUGAAAGAUGCCUGGGUUUUAUCUAGUUUAUUUCAUCAGCUUGGAGCCUUCUUGCUGUGUUAGUGUUGUUGUCUCUGACUUUAUAUAAGCCUGUUCAUCUGUCCAGCUUAAAAUUAGUGUUAUUCCA
rnacentral:lncRNA from 14 species